UACGGAGGGUCCAAGCGUUAUCCGGAAUCAUUGGGUUUAAAGGGUCCGUAGGCGGUUUUGUAAGUCAGUGGUGAAAGCCCAUCGCUCAACGGUGGAAACGGCCCAUUGAUACUGCAAGACUUGAAUUAUUGGGGAAGCAACUAGAAAUAUGUAGUGUAGCGGUGAAAAUGCUUAGAUAUUACAUGGAAUACCAAUUGCGAAGGCAGGU
rnacentral:rRNA from 1 species